rnacentral:rRNA from 1 species
GGUGAGUAACGCGUGGGUAACCUGCCCUGUACACACGGAUAACAUACCGAAAGGUAUGCUAAUACGGGAUGAUAUAUAAGAGUCGCAUGACUUUUAUAUCAAAGAUUUUUCGGUACAAGAUGGACCCGCGUCUGAUUAGCUUGUUGGCGGGGUAACGGCCCACCAAGGCGACGAUCAGUAGCCGACCUGAGAGGGUGAUCGGCCACAUUGGAACUGAGACACGGUCCAAACUCCUACGGGAGGCAGCAGU